rnacentral:tRNA from 1 species
GGUUGUGGCUCAGUGGUAGAGUGCUCACCUAGCAUGCACGAGGCAUUGGGUUCGAUCCUCCGCACCA